rnacentral:misc_RNA from 1 species
CAACCCUCAAACUUAAUCGUUUGGUGUUGAGGUUUCUAUAAUGUAUAGGCCUCUAAAUCUAUUGGCAGAACGUCAUAAACUCUCAAUUGUAGUAAAUUUUAUUUCUAUUGAAGAAUUUUGAUGAUUUCUAGCCGUAAAACACAGCGUGCUCUUUUGGAGCCCUAUUUUUUACAA